rnacentral:tRNA from 1 species
CCCCUGGUGGUCCAGUGGUUAAAAUUCUGCACUCCCAAUGCAGGGACCAGGGUUCAAUCCCUGGCAAGGUA